rnacentral:rRNA from 1 species
CACGUAGGGCCAAGCGUUGUCCGGAUUUAUUGGGCGUAAAGAGCUCGUAGGCGGUUGGGUAAGUCGGGUGUGAAAACUCCAGCUCAACUUGGAGACGCCACCCGAUACUGCUCUGACUUGAGUUCGGUAGGGGAGUGGGGAAUUCCUGGUGUAGCGGUGAAAUGCGUAGAUAUCAGGAGGAACACCGGUGGUGUAGACGGCUCACUGGACCGUAACUGACGCUGAGACACGAAAGCAUGGGGAGCGAACGGG